UUAGAUCAGAAGCGAGAAUGUUGACAUGAGUAGCGAUAAAGAGGGUGAGAGACCCUCUCGCCGUAAGUCCAAGGGUUCCUGCUUAAAGCUAAUCUGAGCAGGGUAAGCCGGCCCCUAAGGCGAGGCCGAAAGGCGUAGUCGAUGGGAACCAGGUUAAUAUUCCUGGGCCAGGAGGAAGUGACGGAUCUCGAAGGUAGUUUGCCCUUAUCGGAUUGGGUGGGCUGCUCAGAGGUUCCAGGAAAUAGCCCUCCAUCAGACCGUACCCUAAACCGACACAGGUGGGCUGGUAGAGUAUACCAAGGCGCUUGAGAGAACCACGUUAAAGGAACUCGGCAAAAUGCCUCCGUAAGUUCGCGAGAAGGAGGCCCCAUAUGUGCGCAAGCAUGUGUGGGGGGCACAAACUAGGGGGUGGCGACUGUUUACUUAAAACACAGGGCUGUGCGAAGCCGUAAGGCGACGUAUACAGUCUGACGCCUGCCCGGUGCUGGAAGGUUAAAAGGAGGGGUGCAAGCUCUGAAUUGAAGCCCCAGUAAACGGCGGCCGUAACAAUAACGGUCCUAAGGUAGCGAAAUUCCUUGUCGGGUAAGUUCCGACCUGCACGAAUGGCGUAACGAUCUCCCCGCUGUCUCUAACGUGGACUCAGCGAAAUUGAACUGUGUGUCAAGAUGCACACUACCCGCGGUUAGACGGAAAGACCCCAUGCACCUUUACUCCAGCUUUGCACUGGUAUCAGGAUUGUGAUGUGCAGGAUAGGUGGUAGGCAUCGAAGCGGGGACGCCAGUUCUCGUGGAGCCUCCCUUGAGAUACCACCCUUCGCCAUCUUGAUAUCUAACCGCGGCCCGUUAUCCGGGUCCGGGACCCUGCAUGGUGGGGAGUUUGACUGGGGCGGUCGCCUCCCAAACAGUAACGGAGGCGCGCGAAGGUAGGCUCAGACCGGUCGGAAAUCGGUCGUUGAGUGCAAUGGCAGAAGCCUGCCUGACUGCAAGUCUGACAAGACGAGCAGAGACGAAAGUCGGUCAUAGUGAUCCGGUGGUCCCAAGUGGGAGGGCCAUCGUUCAACGGAUAAAAGGUACGCUGGGGAUAACAGGCUGAUGAUGCCCAAGAGUCCAUAUCGACGGCAUCGUUUGGCACCUCGAUGUCGGCUCAUCUCAUCCUGGGGCUGGAGCAGGUCCCAAGGGUAUGGCUGUUCGCCAUUUAAAGAGGUACGUGAGCUGGGUUUAGAACGUCGUGAGACAGUUCGGUCCCUAUCUGCCGUGGGUGUAGGAGACUUGAGAAGAGUUGCCCCUAGUACGAGAGGACCGGGGUGAACGAACCACUGGUGGACCAGUUGUCGUGCCAACGGCAGUGCUGGGUAGCUAUGUUCGGACAGGAUAACCGCUGAAGGCAUCUAAGCGGGAAGCCCCCUUCAAAACAAGGUCUCCCUUGAGAGCCGUGGAAGACCACCACGUUGAUAGGCCGGAGGUGUAAGUGCAGCAAUGCAUUCAGCUGACCGGUACUAAU
rnacentral:rRNA from 1 species